rnacentral:rRNA from 1 species
UACGUAGGUGGCAAGCGUUGUCCGGAAUUAUUGGGCGUAAAGCGCGCGCAGGUGGUUUCUUAAGUCUGAUGUGAAAGCCCACGGCUCAACCGUGGAGGGUCAUUGGAAACUGGGGAACUUGAGUGCAGGAGAGAAGAGUGGAAUUCCACGUGUAGCGGUGAAAUGCGUAGAGAUGUGGAGGAACACCAGUGGCGAAGGCGACUCUUUGGCCUGUAACUGACACUGAGGCACGAAAGCGUGGGGAGCAAACAGG